rnacentral:rRNA from 1 species
UACGGAGGGUGCAAGCGUUAAUCGGAAUUACUGGGCGUAAAGCGCACGUAGGUGGUUUGCUAAGCCAGCUGUGAAAUCCCCGGGCUCAACCUGGGCACUGCAGUUGGAACUGGCAAGCUAGAGUAGGGUAGAGGGGUGUGGAAUUCCAGGUGUAGCGGUGAAAUGCGUAGAUAUCUGGAGGAACAUCAGUGGCGAAGGCGGCUCUCUGGAACGCAACUGACGCUGAGACGCGAAAGCGUGGGGAGCAAACAGG